GUUGAACUAAUCACAAAGUGGUAUUUCAUCGCAGAUACAUUAUGCCUCAAUAAGGAUUUCCACCUGAAGCUGACGCUGUUUACUAGGGGGGCUUAGCUGGCCUCCAGGAAAAGAUUAUAUAGGAGACAGGUUCUCGGUUGGAGCAGUUUGGCACAACAAAUUUAAGGUUUUCAAAGGUAAAAUGUUUCCAAAAAUUGUUUGUUGGAGAAAAAAUUCUCAAAUUUUUGGUAAUUAGCUGUCGCCAUCUGGAACAACAUCAUAUACUUCUGAAAUUUGACCUUUGCUAUUAUGUUUUUUAACUGAUUCGGGCAGUAACAAUGGGCUUCCAACUCAUGGUAGCAAGCUUUAAUCUUCCAGGCUUCGGAGCUUUAUAUCUAUUUGUUGGUGGGAUGCUACUGAUUUUGAUCAAUCGCACCUAAAUUUAGGCCUACAAGCACUUCUUCAGCCUUUUGAUGUCACUCGUGCUUAGGAGUGGACCAUAUGGAGGAUUUUUUUUUUU